rnacentral:rRNA from 1 species
GAUGAACGCUGGCGGCGUGCCUAAUACAUGCAAGUCGAGCGAACAGACGAGGAGCUUGCUCCUCUGACGUUAGCGGCGGACGGGCGAGUAACACGUGGAUAACCUACCUAUAAGACUGGGAUAACUUCGGGAAACCGGAUCUAAUACCGGAUAAUAUAUUGAACCGCAUGGUUCAAUAGUGAAAGACGGUUUUGCUGUCACUUAUAGAUGGAUCCGCGCCGCAUUAGCUAGUUGGUAAGGUAACGGCUUACCAAGGCAACGAUGCGUAGCCGACCUGAGAGGGUGAUCAGCCACACUGGAACUGAGACACGGUCCAGACUCCUACGGGAGGCAGCAGUAGGGAAUCUUCCGCAAUGGGCGAAAGCCUGACGGAGCCACGCCGCGUGAGUGAUGAAGGUCUUCGGAUCGUAAAACUCUGUUAUUAGGGAAGAACAAAUGUGUAAGUAACUAUGCACGUCUUGACGGUACCUAAUCAGAAAGCCACGGCUAACUACGUG